rnacentral:lncRNA from 13 species
CAACUCUUUUCUCUUGCCAGAGAAGAAUAACUUCUCUUUUCAUGGAGACAAGGUAAUGAUUUCACAUAAAGAAGGUUCCUGUGAGACAGUAUUUCUUUUUCUCAAGAUCCACCCCACCACCCUCAUUGCCUCCUGGAGAGCGGCUUCUCUCAACAGCUGGCAUGCAUAGUGUGGAAAAGUAGAGGUUAGUAUUUACUGAUUAUUUCUUUGUACAGCAUGCUGGGAAGGCAUCUCCUUACGGGCCACACUUUUAUUAUACUCACAAUGUUCGUUUUGUUCAAUACUGAAUUGUGAUCCGAAGGCAUAUUGCUGAUCAUUGUUAGUUAAUCAAGCCUUGAAUGGCUUCACAUUUGGGUGCAAUCUCUAUCAUUUGCAACAGAUUUCUGGGCUACAGUUAUGGCUAAUGCUCUUCAGCACUGGCUGUGUCCCUUUUCCAAUCUACUUCAUGACUCAUUUAAAAAAACACUUGUUAACGAAAUUAAAAAC